GCACAAGCAGCGGAGCGUGUGGUUUAAUUCGUUGCUACACGAAGAACCUUACCUGGGUUUGACAUAGCAGUGGUAGGGAAGCGAAAGCAGACCGACCUUCGGGGAGCUGUUACAGGUGUUGCAUGGCUGUCGUCAGCUCGUGUCGUGAGAUGUUCGGUUAAGUCCGCUAACGAGCGCAACCCGCGUUUGUGUGUUACAAGUGUCACACAAUACCGCCGGUAUUAAGUCGGAGGAAGGUGCGGAUGACGUCAAGUCAGCAUGACCUUUAUAUCCAGGGCUACACACACGCUACAAUGGUCAGCACAAUGGGUUGCCAAGUCGUGAGACGGAGCCAAUCCUCCAAAGCUGGCCUCAGUUCAGAUUGUAGGCUGCAACCCGCCUGCAUGAAGUUGGAGUUGCUAGUAACCGCAGGUCAGCUAUACUGCGGUGAAUACGUUCCCGGGGAUU
rnacentral:rRNA from 1 species